rnacentral:lncRNA from 1 species
GCGACCGCCCCGCCGGGAGGCCCUGCACGCACGCGCCGCCGGCCGGGCCAGAGUAUGUUCUCCAGUUACCAAGGGAGAUGGAGGGACAGGAACCUGAGAGGAAGCCUGCCUGGAAGAAGGGGGCUGCUGGUCCUCAGUCCCUUGUGAAUGCCCAGCCUCUAGUGGUGGGAUUAAGAAUGCAGCCUCUGCCCUCCAACCUUAGGUCAAGACGCUCAACCAGAGUCUCCCUCCACAGAGUACCAUCAUGGCAUUUCCCAGCACAGAGCACAGGACAGCUGGGACAAUCCUUGUGGGACAAAUGGACGAUGGACAGAAGCAUCUGCUUCCAACAGGAGGGUCUCAACCAUCCCCUUAGAACCUAUGCCCCCUUUGGAUAGUAUUUUAUGACAUCCCCCAUUCCACUACCAUGAAAUGAAAAUCAUAGCAUAAUCUGCCUACACACAUAAUUGCAAAAAAUAAAUGCAUGCAUAGGUUCACCAAAAGACACGUACAAGAAUGUUCACAGCAUCAUUAUUCAUAAUGGCCAGACACUAGAAACAACACAAAUGGAUAUGGUAUGUCCACAUGAUGAAAACGAACAAACUUCUGCCAGGCACGGUGGGCACAGUGGCUCAUGCCUGUAAUCCCAGCAUUCUGAGAGGCCAAGGCGGGCAGAUCACUUGAGGUUAGGAGUUUGAGACCAGCCUGGUCAACAUAGUGAGACCCCGUCUCUACUAAAAAUUCAAAAAUUAGCGGGGCAUGGUGGCGGAUGCCUGUAGUCCCAGCUACUCGGGAGGCUGUGGCAGGAGAAUCGCUUGAACCUGGGAGGCGGAGGUGGCAGGGAGACGAGAUCGCGCCACUGCACUCCAGCCUGGGAGACAGUGAGACUCUGUCUCAAAAAAAAAAAGAAAAUGAACAAACUUCCAAUUCACACAACAACAUGGAUGAAUCUCACAAAUACGAUUUUGGCUGAAAGAAGUCAGACAUGAAAAAAGCAUGCAUGUAUGUUUCCAUUAUAUCAAGUUCAAAGGUAGGCAAAAUUAAUUUAAGGUGUUAGAAGUAAGGAGAGUAGUUACCUAGAGGAGUUGUGACUGGGUGGCACCAUGAGUUGGACUUCCAGGGUAUUGAGAGUGUUCUGGUUAUGAAGGUGUGUUCAUUUUGCAAAAAUUCAUAGAGGUGUACUCAUAAGAUUUGUCCACUUUUUUGAAGUAUGUAGUUAUUCAAUAAAAAGUUUACUUAAAAAAAAACAAUCAAUCAAUACAAUGCCCUAACUGUAAUAUAAAAAAGAAAAGGCCGCUUGCACCUAGAGUCAAUUCAUAGCAAUUACAAAUGCAGACA